CAUGCAGUCGAGCGGCAGCACAAGGGAGUUUACUCCUGAGGUGGCGAGCGGCGGACGGGUGUAGUAAUGCCUAGGGAUCUGCCCAGUCGAGGGGGAUAACAGUUGGAAACGACUGCUAAUACCGCAUACGCCCUACGGGGGAAAGAGGGGGACUUUCGGGCCUCUCGCGAUUGGAUGAACCUAGGUGGGAUUAGCUAGUUGGUGAGGUAAUGGCUCACCAAGGCGACGAUCCCUAGCUGUUCUGAGAGGAUGAUCAGCCACACUGGGACUGAGACACGGCCCAGACUCCUACGGGAGGCAGCAGUGGGGAAUAUUGCACAAUGGGGGAAACCCUGAUGCAGCCAUGCCGCGUGUGUGAAGAAGGCCUUCGGGUUGUAAAGCACUUUCAGUAGGGAGGAAAGGUUGUAAGUUAAUACCUUGCAGCUGUGACGUUACCUACAGAAGAAGGACCGGCUAACUCCGUGCCAGCAGCCGCGGUAAUACGGAGGGUCCAAGCGUUAAUCGGAAUUACUGGGCGUAAAGCGUGCGCAGGCGGUUUGUUAAGCGAGAUGUGAAAGCCCCGGGCUCAACCUGGGAAUUGCAUUUCGAACUGGCAAACUAGAGUCUUGUAGAGGGGGGUAGAAUUCCAGGUGUAGCGGUGAAAUGCGUAGAGAUCUGGAGGAAUACCGGUGGCGAAAGGCGGCCCCCUGGACAAAGACUGACGCUCAGGCACGAAAGCGUGGGGAGCAAACAGGAUUAGAUACCCCUGGUUAGUCCACGCCGUAAACGAUGUCUACCUCGGAGUUUGGUGGUUCUUGACCACCUGGGCCUCCUCCAAGCUAACGCAUUUAAGUAGACCCGCCUGGGGAGUUACCGGCCCGCCAUGGUUAAAACCUCAAAGGAAAUUG
rnacentral:rRNA from 1 species